CAGCCGCCGCGGUAAUACGAAGGGGGCUAGCGUUGCUCGGAUUUACUGGGCGUAAAGCGCACGUAGGCGGACUUUUAAGUCAGGGGUGAAAUCCCGGGGCUCAACCCCGGAACUGCCUUUGAUACUGGAAGUCUUGAGUAUGGUAGAGGUGAGUGGAAUUCCGAGUGUAGAGGUGAAAUUCGUAGAUAUUCGGAGGAACACCAGUGGCGAAGGCGGCUCACUGGACCAUUACUGACGCUGAGGUGCGAAAGCGUGGGGAGCAAACAGGAUUAGAGACCCCUGUAGUCCCUGUCUCUUAUAC
rnacentral:rRNA from 1 species